rnacentral:misc_RNA from 1 species
CCCGGUUUGGCACCGGCAGUCCUCCCAGAGUCCUCGGCGUUACCCGGUAGCAACUGGGAGCGGGGGUUGCGCUCGUUGCGGGACUUAACCCAACAUCUCACGACACGAGCUGACGACAGCCAUGCAGCACCUGUCGAGGGACUCCGAAGAGGGCUCGUGGUUUCUCACGAGUUUCCCCUCGAUGUCAAGCCCAGGUAAGGUUCUUCGCGUUGCGUCGAAUUAAACCACAUGCUCCGCUGCUUGUGCGGGGCCCCGUCAAUUCCUUUGAGUUUUAGCCUUGCGGCCGUACUCCCCAGGCGGGGUGCUUAAUGCGUUAGCUACGGCACGGAAGGAGUCGACACCUCCCACACCUAGCACCCAUCGUUUACGGCGUGGACUAC